rnacentral:ribozyme from 11 species
UUUUUUUUUUUUUUUUUUUUUUUUUCCCCAAGGAAAAGUGUACCACUUUACUAUUGCUGGAAGUGUGUACACAUGAGUGGUGCUGUAACAGCAGCAAAGAGGAGGAGAUGUUUGUUGAAGAUUUA